GAGGGUCUAGCUCAGUGGCAGAGUGCCUGCUUAGCAGUGCAUGAGGUCCUAGGCUAAAUUCCCAGCACCCUCA
rnacentral:tRNA from 1 species